AGAGUCUUUUCUGCUAGAGUCGAUAUUGGAAAUUAGGUUUUAAUCGUCUUCCUCGAUCUGUAUCAACAACGGAGAUUCUAAAAGUCUAGAGAGACGAAUCGUCGUGUAGAGAAUCAGGCUUACACUUCCUUUCAGUCGUUUCGUGUUUAUUCCUUACUCACAGCCGUUUCGAAGCCACAUUCAUCGCCUUUAAGAUACAUCUUAAUUCCUUCGAUGCUCAUCACCAUAUUCAAUGUUCUUCCACCGUGGAGGUCCCGUUCUUUGUUGAGAUUCUGGCGUCAACCGUGGUGGCGAGUUGAUGGGGGUGGACAUGCUCCUCCUUGAUGCUUAGGAGUUUAAAGGAGUGUUAUCAUCCAGAUGAUAAGCAGAGGAACCAACUUAGCAGAGAAUUGGGUUUGGCUCUCCAAGACAAAUCAAGUUCUGUUCCACAACAGCAGAACUCAGCUUAAGGCGCAACAUGAGAGAGCAGAUAACAAUGCACUAUAGGCAGAGAACGACAAGAUUCGAUGUGAGAACAUAGCCAUAAGAGAAGCACUCAAGCAUGCUAUAUACCCUAACUGUGGAUGUCCUCCCGUUAGUGAAGAUCCUUACUUCGAUGAGCGUAAGCUCCGGAUCGAAAAUGUACAUCUUAGAGACGAGCUUGAAAGAAUGUCAACGGUUGCAUCAAAGUACAUGGGAAGACCAAUCUCCUCCCACCUCGCAACGCUACACCCAAUGCGCAUCUCACCGUUGGAUCUGUCCAUGAUUGGUCCUUCACUGGAUUUUGAUCUUCUUCCAGCGAGUUCUAUGCAUUCUCAGCCUAAUAACUUGGCUACUAUAUCAGACAUGGACAAGCCUCUUAUGAACGACAUUGCUUUUACUGUGAUGGAAGAAUUGCUUAGGCUUUUUAACACAAACUAACCUCUCUGGAGUAGAGCUGAUGGUGGCGGUGGCAGAGACAUUCUCAAUUUGAUGCUCAGGUUUAUAUGUUUGCAGAGUUUGACUAUGAAACCGGUGCUGGGCAAUGCUUUCUCAGUAAGUAACAUGCUCAAAUAAUAGUCUGUUAGUUACGAGCAUGAAAAGCAACAAAAUCGUGGUCAUUAGAUUCUCAAUGCACUGCAUGUAUAUUUAAAUUCAGAAGAGUAUACAGAGACUGUCUCAGAUUUUUGAUGAAUGAUACAAUCAGUUUAUGGGUACAUGGUUUGAACCU